AUUGAACGCUGGCGGCAUGCCUUACACAUGCAAGUCGAACGGUAACAGGUCUUCGGAUGCUGACGAGUGGCGAACGGGUGAGUAAUACAUCGGAACGUGCCUAGUAGUGGGGGAUAACUACUCGAAAGAGUGGCUAAUACCGCAUGAGAUCUAUGGAUGAAAGCAGGGGAUCGCAAGACCUUGUGCUACUAGAGCGGCCGAUGGCAGAUUAGGUAGUUGGUGGGAUAAAAGCUUACAAGCCGACGAUCUGUAGCUGGUCUGAGAGGACGAUCAGCCACACUGGGACGGAGACCCGGCCCAGACUCCUACGGGAGGCAGCAGUGGGGAAUUUUGGACAAUGGGCGAAAGCCUGAUCCAGCAAUGCCGCGUGCAGGAUGAAGGCCUUCGGGUUGUAAACUGCUUUUGUACGGAACGAAAAGCCCCGGGUUAAUACCCUGGGGUCAUGACGGUACCGUAAGAAUAAGCACCGGCUAACUACGUGCCAGCCGCCGCAGUAA
rnacentral:rRNA from 1 species